ACAAACAUCAUGGGUGCAUUUCUCUCUCUCUAUUCUUGACUGUGGAUUUGAUGCUUUAAGUUCCUGCCUUGACUUCUCUACAAUAAUGGACUGUAACCGAGAAUGGAAAGCCAAAGAAAGUCCUUCCUCUUCUAAGCUGCUCUUGGUCGUGGUGUUUCAUCACAACAACAGAAGAGAACCUAGGACAAUCACCUUACCUGUGAGAGCGAGGAGCCUAUGCAGUAAUACAAGUAAUUGGGAAGACACUGGCUCAGAGCCUGUCUCUGGUGACCACUGAAUUGUCCAGCACCUGAGGUCCCUGGAGCCCACGGACUGAGCCCAUCUGGGCUAAAAGAGGUCCCAUACAUCCUUCUCAAAGGCCUAUAUAAAUGCCAAGCAGAGUUAUAGCAG
rnacentral:lncRNA from 1 species